rnacentral:rRNA from 1 species
UAACACAUGCAAGUCGAACGAAGGUACCAGAGCUUGCUUUGGUGCCUUAGUGGCGGACGGGUGAGUAACACGUGGGAAUCUACCAUAGAGUACGGAAUAACGCAGUGAAAACUGUGCUAAUACCGUAUACGCCCUUAGGGGGAAAGAUUUAUUGCUCUUUGAUGAGCCCGCGUUAGAUUAGCUAGUUGGUGGGGUAAAGGCCUACCAAGGCUACGAUCUAUAGCUGGUUUGAGAGGAUGACCAGCCACACUGGGACUGAGACACGGCCCAGACUCC